rnacentral:rRNA from 1 species
CGGACGGGUGAGUAACGCGUGGGUAACCUGCCUCAUACAGGGGGAUAACAGUUAGAAAUGACUGCUAAUACCGCAUAAGCGCACGGGACUGCAUGGUCCAGUGUGAAAAACUCCGGUGGUAUGAGAUGGACCCGCGUCUGAUUAGCUAGUUGGUGGGGUAAGGGCUCACCAAGGCGACGAUCAGUAGCCGGCCUGAGAGGGUGACCGGCCACAUUGGGACUGAGACACGGCCCAAACUCCUACGGGAGGCAGCAG